ensembl:processed_transcript Gm12940 predicted gene 12940
UUUCUGCUCUAUAACUGGAAAGUUUGGUUCAUUUUGCAUACGUGCCGCUGAAAGCUUCAGGACUGUGAGAAUUUCCUUUCUGUGCAUCAAGAAAAAAUGACUUGCUCUUUGUCAGGUAAGAAUGAUUGAUGUUGGCUGAUUUUGGAGUCUUAUUUACUUGAGGCGGAAUUAGAUGUUCUCAAGACAGCACACAACAUGGGUCAGCUAAAAAGGAAAGCCACAAAUUACUUAGACUGACAAAGACUCUAGGAUCAAGUGAGCUGUAUCAGAAAAUGAGUCAAGACGAAAGAGGAAUGAAUUUGACAUUAAUAAAGUAAUUUAUUUUUAAAAA